ACGCGCAGAGCGGCGGAGCCCGCCACAUCCGCUACCAUCCAGGAGCGGGGGGCCGCAGCACUGCACCGUAUUCCAUAGAAGAGCUCCUCGGCACGGGUACCUUUCAGCAAAGGAGCAUGAAGAUGGGAGGAAGGAAGACUAUCCAGAGCACAACUCUGCUUCAGAGAUUCUGGGCUGUUGAAGUAGCCCAUGCAAUUGUGAAUUAAUUGGAGUGCUAUGUUUGGAUCCCAUCACCAAUGCUAUAAAUGCAUCAUGAGCAGGUCCAAGGAGGUGAUCCUCCCCCUCUAUGCAACACUGGUCAGGCCACAGUUGGAGUACUGCAUCCAGUUCCGGGCACCGCACUUCAGGGGGGAUGUGGCCAGCAUCAAGAGGCUCCAGAGGAGGGCGACUCACAUCAUCAGGGGGCAGCAGGGCACACGCUACGAGGAGAAGCCAUGGGACCGGAACCUGUUCAGCCUCCACAAGAGAAGGCUGAGAGGGGAAUCUAGUGGCUAUCUAUAAACGUACUAGGGGGGACCAUAGGGGAAUGGGAGCAAUCCUGUUCCCCCAAGCACCUCCCAGAGUAACAAGGAAUAACAGCCAUAAGUUGUUUGAGAGUACAUUCAGGCUAGACAUCAGGAGGCACUAUUUCACAGUCAGGGCAGCUAGGAUCUGGAAAAAGCUUCCAAGGGAAGUGGUGUUGACUCCUACCUUAAGGGUCUUUAAAAGGAGGCUUGAUAAUUACCGAGCUGGGGUCGCAUGAGCUUAGACUUACCAGGAGUCAUAUGAGACCAGUAUUCAUUCCUGUCCAGGGUGGGUUGGACUUGAUGAUCUGCUCAGGUCCCUUGCAACACUACAUCUAUGAACCUAUGAACCUAUAGGCAUGAGCGCCAGCGGGGAGGUCUCUAAAGUAGUAAAAGUUUGUCAGACACCCUUGCCCAGUGCACUGAGUGACUGAGCACCAGUCUUUUCUUAUACUAGCAUAGUUUCUCAGAAAGCCCUCUCAGUGAGUUUCUGCUUUCAGACUCAAUAACAUAAAUAGAAGAAAUAAGCAGCACACUGAGCAAAUCUGUCCUGCAACUUAAUUUUUUUCUAUUUAUCUCUAAUUUUUCCUUCUAUAAAGUCAGUUUAUUUGGUGAGGCUGAUAGAUGGCUCUUUUAUCUCACAGUAAAAAAAAACCCAAUAAGAUCUAAUGGUUGCAAGAUAAAGCCAGACUAAUUUAUAAAUAAUCUAUUUUAAUCUGUUUAAUGAAUUUUAAUAGAGAAGAUAAACUGUGCUAGGACAAACUACCUAAGGAUAUGUUGGAUUAUCCAUCACUGAAGCCUUUAAAUUGAAUUAAUUUUUUUUUAAUGUUAUAAUUUAAACAGAAGUUAUGAACUUGAUGCAAAAAUUACAGCAUAAAAUCCUGUGGUCUGCGGUAUACAGAGGGUCUGAUUAGAUUAUUGCAAUGUACCCUCUGGGCCUUAAAGUCUUACAGUCUAUAAAGUUAUUCACCAGCUGUCUUCAGCGUUGGUAAUCCUCUUCAUCCAGGUGCUGGAAGUAAUGUUAGAUGACAUAAAAAUGUAUACCUUUUGCACCAUUUUCAAGGACAAGACUAGACAUAUCAGAUGUCUACUCAAACCAUAUAGUAAAACUUCAGACAGAUUUAAUGUCAUAGAUUACUAAAAGGUUUUCAAUAGAGUUUCAAGAUUAAUUUAUUGCUUUAGUUGGGCUUCAUUGCACUGAUUGUGGCUUGAGUCUUUGAAGAACAACCUGUUUUUGGAACUUCUGAAAAUGUGGAUUUUGUUUUGUUCUACAUUAGUGAGUUAAGGUGAAUGUCAUACUGGGUCAGACAACUGGUCCAUCCUGGUUCUCCAAGUGACAAAGAGCAGAUGCUAAAGGAAAGAAUAUUUAUGUAAAGCAGUGGUUCCCAACCCCGGGUCACAACCCAAAUGAGGGUCGCAGGGGCAAUCCUGGCAACGCUGCGCAGAAAAGAUGAGCUUCCCCGCCCCAACCCCUGAGCCGCCACUACCGCAAUCUGCUUCCAGUACUGGGGCGCAGAAAAAAAAAGGGUGGGAGCCACUGAUGCAAAGUCCAUCCAAACUAAUCUGUCCCCUGCCUUUCCCCACCUACAACACAGCACUCACAGCCAAAGUCCUAGGUUGCCUGCAGUCCCCACUUUUGUUCAUAUGUCAAGUCUCUGUAGAUGAGUGUGUCUUCUAUCAUGUUUAAUAACCGUUGACUGAUCUAUGCUCCAUUAAUCUGUCCAAUCUCCAUCUGAACCUGCUUAAAUUACCAGCCUCCACAAUUAUAAUUGACUAUGGGAUUUAAUGUAAUAUUUCUGUUUUAAAUGUAUUCAUAUUGCUAUAAUGUACAUGACUCAGUUUACCAAUAAAGCUAGUACAUGGGGAAAGAAUGGGUUAAGGGGACAAUGAAGCCAGAGUUGCUGACCCCUGCCUGGCAGAAGAUGCAUCCAUCUACAGCAGUGGUGGGCAAAAUACAACUUGUGGGAUCUGGCCUGCAGGUGGUUGAUGACUCUGGUUGCCCAUGGUGCUGAGCAGGCAGCAAUGCUUUUUUUUUUUUUCCCCCAAUAAAUGCCUGUACUGAACUGGA